rnacentral:rRNA from 1 species
UAAUACAUGCAAGUCGAACGCACAGCGAAAGGUGCUUGCACCUUUCAAGUGAGUGGCGAACGGAUGAGUAACACGUGGAUAACCUACCUCAAGGUUGGGGAUAACAUUUGGAAACAGAUGCUAAUACCGAAUAAAACUUAGUAUCGCAUGAUACCAGGUUAAAAGGCGCUACGGCGUCACCUAGAGAUGGAUCCGCGGUGCAUUAGUUAGUUGGUGGGGUAAAGGCUUACCAAGACAAUGAUGCAUAGCCGAGUUGAGAGACUGAUCGGCCACAUUGGGACUGAGACACGGCCCAAAACUCCUACGGGAGGCUGCAGUAGGGAAUCUUCCACAAUGGGCGAAAGCCUGAUGGAGCAACGCCGCGUGUGUGAUGAAGGCUUUCGGGUCGUAAAGCACUGUUGUAUGGGAAGAACAGCUAGAGUAGGGAAUGACUUUAGUUUGACGGUACCAUACCAGAAAGGGACGGCUAAAUACGUG